UCCCGGGCAGAGAGAAGCCCGGGACAGUGCAGCCGUCCCGCCCCGAUACCUGCUCUGCCGGUGAGAGGCUCCAGGCUCUGCAGCUCCUGCUGCCCGUGACCGUCCUCCAGCUCAGGCGCCCUGGGAAGGAUGCCCGACUCCUUAGACGCUGGGAAGUGUAAAAGCUGCAAAUUAGAAGAGACAAAGACCAUCUAUUGAGUGUAGGAGGACAUUGUGACCCUACAAGUCGAAUUUACAGAGAGAAGGAGAGAAAGAUCUUU